GCGGAGAGGAGGCAGCCGCCGCUCGCAGCGCCCGCUCGGAGCCGUGCGCCGGGGAAAGUUGGAGGCAGCGCAGCCACCGAGAGCUCCCACUUGCAACAGGGGCUGGGGGAAAAGCAGCACCUUCCCAGGUUGUCCUUGAGAGGACAAAGCUCUGUGCCUGCUGUCACCCACCAAACACACAAAGUACACAAGACCUCGCAGGACCUGACCCCUCAGAGAAGGCAGAGGGAGGAAAGGAGUAGCUGAGACCCACUAGCAGCCGCCACAGAGGAUUGGCUGCAGCACCAAGCUACGAGAUGGAGCCAACAGGCACAAGCAGUCACAGGGUCACGUCUUUCCCUAGACCAUGUCAUGCCUAGCGUGCAAGGCUGAACACGUGAAGUGACUCUGCAGUGCUCUCCAAGGUCACUGUAUGCACAAGGUUGCUGUGGGAAGGGCUCUAGGGCUGCCUAGCAGGGGCUCUUUCCAAGCAGCUUUGGAACUGGUGAGAGCAGGACUGCUCCAUUUACGCAGCUGCACUAUGGAUCCAUGUUACAAUCACACAAGCUCUCAAAAAGGGAUGGACUUACCCCUGCAGCUGUUGGUCGGGUCCUGCCUCACCAUCCUCAUCGUGAUCACUCUCUGUGGUAACAUCAUCGUCUGCCUGGCAGUCACCCUUGACCGCCAGCUCCGCAGUUUGACAAACUGCAUCAUUGUCUCCUUGGCCAUCACUGACUUGCUGCUGGGCCUCCUGGUGCUACCAUUCUCUGCCUUCUAUGAGCUUACCAAAGAGUGGCCCUUUGGCAGCACCUUGUGCAACAUCUACAUGAGCCUGGACGUCAUGCUGUGCACGGCUUCCAUCCUCAACCUCUUCAUGAUCAGCCUGGACCGCUACUUUGCUGUCACCACCCCACUCCGCUACAGCCAGGUGGUCACUCCUUCCCGGGUCACUAUGGGAUUGGUUGUUAUUUGGACUGUUUCACUGAUGGUCUCCUUCCUACCCAUCCACCUGGGCUGGAACACCAAUGGGACAGCAGUCCAAAACACAGUCCCCAGCUGCAACAAGGAGUGCACACUGGAGGUGAACCCUGUGUAUGGGCUAGUGGAUGCCUUGCUCACCUUCUACAUUCCUUUGGUCAUCAUGUGCAUCACCUACUACCGGAUCCUCAAGAUAGCAAGGGAGCAAGCCAAGAGAAUAAACCAUACGUGGUGCUGCAGCAGCAACAGCCCCAUGCCACCCAUGGUGAAAGAACACAAAGCCACUGUGACACUGGCAGUGGUGGUGGGAGCAUUCAUUGUGUGCUGGUUCCCCUAUUUCACAGUGUUUAUGUACCGGGGGAUGUGGGGGGACAGCAGGGUGAAAGGCACACCCAUGUCUGUUGUCCUCUGGCUGGGCUACGCCAACUCAGCCCUGAACCCCAUCCUCUAUGGGACGCUCAACAGGGAUUUUCGGGUGGCAUACCAACACUUGUUGCACUGCUGGAAGUUUGGGAGCUCCAGGAGCUCCUGCCUGCCUCCCCUCCAGAAGGUGCAGUCCAGGGGCAGGACCUGCAGGCAGGGCCAGGGCAGGCAGGAGGGUAUACCUCUGAAACUGGAAAUGAGGAACGGGAAGGGAACCUUGCUGCCUGACGAAGCCCUCAAGAGCACCGGAGCUUUCCCAUGAGUCUCAGCCAGCCUGCUGCACUAGGGCCCUCAUCUCCCAGCCUUCAACUGCUGGCUGGCCUCUUUCAAAAUCCUGUGAGGAUGAAAAGGCAACACUCAAUUUUCCUUGGGGAGAAACUCAACAGCAGAGGCAAGGGCUGCAGGGAUCCCUGCUCUGGUACAAGGUAUUUGCUCCACCCCAAAAGCUGCUGGAGAUGCCUUUGGCUGCCUGUUUCUUCCCGGGGGGUGGUGUGUUUGAAGAGCCCUCAGAGAAGCUGUAAAAGAGUCUGCCCUGCACCACCAGGGCCAUGAUACUUCCAGCAUCAAGCCCCACACCAGCAGAGAGUGGUGCCUGAGAAGCUAGGUCAAGAGGAAGUGCAUGGCCCUGGCAGGACCAGGAUGGAGCUGCCCUCCCCAGGCCCAAGGCAGUGGGUCAAGCUGAGAGGGCACAGGAUGGGGGGGAAAGGGGCUGUGGUCAAGGUCUUGGUGCCAGACAGAUCAGCCUAGGGAGGGAGAAGGGUAGCACAAGCACUUCCCUCCCUGACCCCCUAUCCAAGGGACAAUCCACUAGUCAGAGGGGGCAGGGGUCCUGGCAGAAGAGGGGGGUGAUGUGGCAGGAGGGCCCGACACAGCAGGUGUC